rnacentral:rRNA from 1 species
ACGGGGAGCAGCCCAGAGCCUGAAUCAGUGUGUGUGUUAGUGGAAGCGUCUGGAAAGGCGCGCGAUACAGGGUGACAGCCCCGUACACAAAAAUGCACAUAUUGUGAGCUCGAUGAGUAGGGCGGGACACGUGGUAUCCUGUCUGAAUAUGGGGGGACCAUCCUCCAAGGCUAAAUACUCCUGACUGACCGAUAGUGAACCAGUACCGUGAGGGAAAGGCGAAAAGAACCCCGGCGAGGGGAGUGAAAAAGAACCUGAAACCGUGUACGUACAAGCAGUGGGAGCACGCUUAGGCGUGUGACUGCGUACCUUUUGUAUAAUGGGUCAGCGACUUAUAUUCUGUAGCAAGGUUAACCGAAUAGGGGAGCCGAAGGGAAACCGAGUCUUAACUGGGCGUUAAGUUGCAGGGUAUAGACCCGAAACCCGGUGAUCUAGCCAUGGGCAGGUUGAAGGUUGGGUAACACUAACUGGAGGACCGAACCGACUAAUGUUGAAAAAUUAGCGGAUGACUUGUGGCUGGGGGUGAAAGGCCAAUCAAACCGGGAGAUAGCUGGUUCUCCCCGAAAGCUAUUUAGGUAGCGCCUCGUGAAUUCAUCUCCGGGGGUAGAGCACUGUUUCGGCAAGGGGGUCAUCCCGACUUACCAACCCGAUGCAAACUGCGAAUACCGGAGAAUGUUAUCACGGGAGACACACGGCGGGUGCUAACGUCCGUCGUGAAGAGGGAAACAACCCAGACCGCCAGCUAAGGUCCCAAAGUCAUGGUUAAGUGGGAAACGAUGUGGGAAGGCCCAGACAGCCAGGAUGUUGGCUUAGAAGCAGCCAUCAUUUAAAGAAAGCGUAAUAGCUCACUGGUCGAGUCGGCCUGCGCGGAAGAUGUAACGGGGCUAAACCAUGCACCGAAGCUGCGGCAGCGACGCUGAUGCGUUGUUGGGUAGGGGAGCGUUCUGUAAGCCUGCGAAGGUGUGCUGUGAGG